rnacentral:lncRNA from 1 species
UGGACCGUCAAUCCAUUCCCCGACUAGUCCUAGCUAUAUUCUCAUUUCCUGAAGAGAACAUUGAAAGAAAGGGUGAGCUCAACUAGCCCAGUAAGAAAUAUUAUGAUUAAGAUAAUGCAGAUUAAAUUAUUCUUAGCCUUCAAUAAUGUUAAACUGAUACAAUAUAACAAACAUCAAGUUUAACUGCAGCGGAACAAGCAAUCUAUUAGAAGAGUCAAGUAGAGAAUAAAAUCUACUAUCUUCUAUGAUUUAAAAG